rnacentral:rRNA from 1 species
AAUCUUCCGCAAUGGACGAAAGCCUGACGGAGCAACGCCGCGUGAGUGAUGAAGGUCUUCGGAUCGUAAAACUCUGUGGUUAGGGAGGAACAAGCAUCGUUCGAAUAGGGCUGUACCUUGACGGUACCUAACCAGAAAGUCACGGCUAACUACGUGACAUCAGCCGCCGUAAUACGUAGGUGGCAAGCGUUAUCCGGAAUUAUUGCGCGUAAAGCGAGCGCAGGCGGUUUCUGAAGUCUGAUGUGAAAGCCCACGGCUCAACCGUGGAGGGUCACUGGAAACUGGGAAGCUUGAGUGCAGAAGAGGAGAGUGGUAUUCCAUGUGUAGAGGUGAAAUGCGUAAAGAUAUGGAGGAACACCAGUGGCGAAGACGACUCUCUGGUCUGCAACUGACGCUGAGGCGCGAAAGCGUGGGGAGCGAACA